rnacentral:rRNA from 1 species
UCAGAUUGAACGCUGGCGGCAGGCCUAACACAUGCAAGUCGGACGGUAGCACAGAGGAGCUUGCUCCUCGGGUGACGAGUGGCGGACGGGUGAGUAAUGUCUGGGGAUCUGCCCGAUAGAGGGGGAUAACCACUGGAAACGGUGGCUAAUACCGCAUAACGUCGCAAGACCAAAGAGGGGGACCUUCGGGCCUCUCACUAUCGGAUGAACCCAGAUGGGAUUAGCUAGUAGGCGGGGUAACGGCCCACCUAGGCGACGAUCCCUAGCUGGUCUGAGAGGAUGACCAGCCACACUGGAACUGAGACACGGUCCAGACUCCUACGGGAGGCAGCAGUGGGGAAUAUUGCACAAUGGGCGCAAGCCUGAUGCAGCCAUGCCGCGUGUAUGAAGAAGGCCUUCGGGUUGUAAAGUACUUUCAGCGGGGAGGAAGGCGAUGUGGUUAAUAACCGCAUUGAUUGACGUUACCCGCAGAAGAAGCACCGGCUAACUCCGUGCCAGCAGCCGCGGUAAUACGGAGGGUGCAAGCGUUAAUCGGAAUUACUGGGCGUAAAGCGCACGCAGGCGGUCUGUUAAGUCAGAUGUGAAAUCCCCGGGCUUAACCUGGGAACUGCAUUUGAAACUGGCAGGCUUGAGUCUCGUAGAGGGGGGUAGAAUUCCAGGUGUAGCGGUGAAAUGCGUAGAGAUCUGGAGGAAUACCGGUGGCGAAGGCGGCCCCCUGGACGAAGACUGACG